rnacentral:rRNA from 1 species
UACGAAGGGGGCUAGCGUUGCUCGGAAUCACUGGGCGUAAAGGGUGCGUAGGCGGGUGUGUAAGUCGGAGGUGAAAUCCUGGAGCUCAACUCCAGAACUGCCUUUGAUACUGAGGAUCUUGAGUUCGGGAGAGGUGAGUGGAACUGCGAGUGUAGAGGUGAAAUUCGUAGAUAUUCGCAAGAACACCAGUGGCGAAGGCGGCUCACUGGCCCGAUACUGACGCUGAGGCACGAAAGCGUGGGGAGCAAACAGG